rnacentral:rRNA from 1 species
UACGGGAGGCAGCAGUGGGGAAUAUUGCACAAUGGGCGCAAGCCUGAUGCAGCCAUGCCGCGUGUAUGAAGAAAGCCUUCGGGUUGUAAAGUACUUUCAGUCGUGAGGAAGGUGUUAAGGUUAAUAACCUUAGCAAUUGACGUUAGCGACAGAAGAAGCACCGGCUAACUCCGUGCCAGCAGCCGCGGUAAUACGGAGGGUGCGAGCGUUAAUCGGAAUUACUGGGCGUAAAGGGCACGCAGGCGGUUAAUUAAGUUGGAUGUGAAAUCCCCGGGCUUAACCUGGGAAUGGCAUUCAAGACUGGUUAGCUAGAGUCUUGUAGAGGGGGUAGAAUUCCAUGUGUAGCGGUGAAAUGCGUAGAGAUGUGGAGGAAUACCGGUGGCGAAGGCGGCCCCUGGACAAAGACUGACGCUCAUGUGCGAAGCGUGGGGAGCAAACAGGAUUAGAUACC